ensembl:miRNA dre-let-7e microRNA let7e
GCUGUUCUUGGGGCUGAGGUAGUAGAUUGAAUAGUUGUGGAGCCCUGCGCUCUCUCUCUGAGAUAACUAUACAAUCUACUGUCUUUCCUAAGGCGACAGC